rnacentral:rRNA from 1 species
GAUGAACGCUGGCGGCGUGCCUAAUACAUGCAAGUCGAGCGAACGGACGAGAAGCUUGCUUCUCUGAUGUUAGCGGCGGACGGGUGAGUAACACGUGGAUAACCUACCUAUAAGACUGGGAUCACUUCGGGAAACCGUAGCUAAUACCGGAUAAUCUUUUGAACCGCAUGGUUCAAAAGUGAAAGACGGUCUUGCUGUCACUUAUGGCUGGAUCCGCGCUGCAUUAGCUAGUUGGUAAGGUAACGGCUUACCAAGGCAACGAUGCAUAGCCGACCUGAGAGGGUGAUCGGCCACACUGGAACUGAGACGCGGUCCAGACUCCUACGGGAGGCAGCAGUAGGGAAUCUUACGCAAUGGGCGAAAGCCUGACGGAGCAACGCCGCGUGAGUGAUGAAGGUCUUCGGAGCGUAAAACUCUGUUAUUAGGGAAGAACAUAUGUGUAAGGAACUGUGCACAUCGUGACGGUACCUAAUCAGAAAGCCACGGCUAACUACGUG